GAUGAACGCUGGCGGCGUGCCUAAUACAUGCAAGUCGAGCGAACAGACGAGGAGCUUGCUCCUCUGACGUUAGCGGCGGACGGGUGAGUAACACGUGGAUAACCUACCUAUAAGACUGGGAUAACUUCGGGAAACCGGAGCUAAUACCGGAUAAUAUAUUGAACCGCAUGGUUCAAUAGUGAAAGACGGUUUUGCUGUCACUUAUAGAUGGAUCCGCGCCGCAUUAGCUAGUUGGUAAGGUAACGGCUUACCAAGGCAACGAUGCGUAGCCGACCUGAGAGGGUGAUCGGCCACACUGGGACUGAGACACGGUCCAGACGCCUACGGGAGGCAGCAGUAGGGAAUCUUCCGCAAUGGGCGAAAGCCUGACGGAGCAACGCCGCGUGAGUGAUGAAGGUCUUCGGAUCGUAAAACUCUGUUAUUAGGGAAGAACAAAUGUGUAAGUAACUAUGCACGUCUUGACGGUACCUAAUCAGAAAGCCACGGCUAACUACGUG
rnacentral:rRNA from 1 species